UACGUAGGGGGCAAGCGUUGUCCGGAAUCAUUGGGCGUAAAGAGCGUGUAGGCGGCUUGGUAAGUCCGCUGUGAAAGUCCAGGGCUCAACCCUGGAAAGCCGGUGGAAACUGUCAAGCUUGAGUCCGGAAGAGGCGGGUGGAAUUCCUGGUGUAGCGGUGAAAUGCGCAGAUAUCAGGAGGAACACCAAUGGCGAAGGCAGCUCGCUGGGACGGUACUGACGCUGAGACGCGAAAGCGUGGGGAGCAAACAGG
rnacentral:rRNA from 1 species